rnacentral:rRNA from 1 species
GGUGCUUGCACUGGUCAAUCUAGUGGCGAACAGGUGAGUAACACGUGGGUAACCUGCCCAUCAGAGGGGGAUAACAUUCGGAAACGGAUGCUAAAACCGCAUAGGUCCUUUAACCGCAUGGUUGAAGGAGGAAAAGAGGCGCAAGCUUCUGCUGAUGGAUGGACCCGCGGUGCAUUAGCUAGUUGGUGAGGUAACGGCUCACCAAGGCCGUGAUGCAUAGCCGACCUGAGAGGGUGAUCGGCCACAUUGGGACUGAGACACGGCCCAAACUCCUACGGGAGGCAGCAGUAGGGAAUCUUCCGCAAUGGACGCAAGUCUGACGGAGCAACGCCGCGUGAGUUGAAGAAGGUUUUCGGAUCGUAAAACUCUGUUGUUAGAGAAGAACAAGUGCUAGAGUAACUGUUAGCGCCUUGACGGUAUCUAACCAGAAAGCCACGGCUAACUACGUGCCAGCAGCCGCGGUAAUACGUAGGUGGCAAGCGUUGUCCGGAUUUAUUGGGCGUAAAGCGAGCGCAGGCGGUUCCUUAAGUCUGAUGUGAAAGCCCCCGGCUCAACCGGGGAGGGUCAUUGGAAACUGGGGAACUUGAGUGCAGAAGAGGGGAGUGGAAUUCCAUGUGUAGCGGUGAAAUGCGUAGAUAUAUGGAGGAACACCAGUGGCGAAGGCGACUCUCUGGUCUGUAACUGACGCUGAGGCUCGAAAGCGUGGGUAGCAAACAGGAUUAGAUACCCUGGUAGUCCACGCCGUAAACGAUGAGCGCUAAGUGUUGGAGGGUUUCCGCCCUUCAGUGCUGCAGUUA